rnacentral:rRNA from 1 species
GACGAACCGUGCGAACGUUAUUCGGAAUCACUGGGCUUAAAGCGCGUGUAGGCGGGACGGCACGUCGGUCGCUGAAAUCCCCCGGCUCAACCGGGGAACGGGCGCCGAUACGACCGUCCUGGAGGGACGUAGGGGGACCUGGAACUUCCGGUGGAGCGGUGAAAUGCGUUGAGAUCGGAAGGAACGCCCGUGGCGAAAGCGAGGUCCUGGACGUUUUCUGACGCUGAGACGCGAAAGCCAGGGGAGCAAACGGG